GACGAACGCUGGCGGCGUGCCUAAUACAUGCAAGUCGAGCGCUCAAGGUUGGUACUUGUUCCAACUGCAUUAGCAGCGAACGGGUGAGUAACGCGUGGGGAACCUGCCUUUGAGCGUGGGACAACUUCUGGAAACGAAUGCUAAUACCGCAUAAUAACUUUAAACACAUGUUUUAAUAUUGAAAGACGCAUUUGCUUCCCCUAAUAAAGAUCUCGCCUUGGAUUAGCCAGUUGGGUAGGUAAAGGCUCACCAAGGCGAUGGAUCAUAGCCGGCCUGAGAGGGUGGACGGCCAACUUGGGAAUGAGACACGGCCCCAGCUCCCACGGGGAGGAGCAAGAGGGGAACUUCGGCCAUGGGCGGAAGGCUGACCGAGGAACGCCGCGGGAGUGAAGAAGGGUUUCGGAUCGUAAAAAUCUGUUGAUAGGGAAGAACGUUGGGGGGAGUGGAAAGCGCAUCAAGUGACGGUAACUACCCAGAAAGGGACGGCUAACUACGUG
rnacentral:rRNA from 1 species